AACGAACGCUGGCGGCAUGCCUAACACAUGCAAGUCGAACGAGACCUUCGGGUCUAGUGGCGCACGGGUGCGUAACGCGUGGGAAUCUGCCCUUGGGUUCGGAAUAACAGUUGGAAACGACUGCUAAUACCGGAUGAUGACUUCGGUCCAAAGAUUUAUCGCCCAGGGAUGAGCCCGCGUAGGAUUAGCUUGUUGGUGAGGUAAAGGCUCACCAAGGCGACGAUCCUUAGCUGGUCUGAGAGGAUGAUCAGCCACACUGGACUGAGACACGGCCCAGACUCCUACGGGAGGCAGCAGUGGGGAAUAUUGGACAAUGGGCGAAAGCCUGAUCCAGCAAUGCCGCGUGAGUGAUGAAGGCCUUAGGGUUGUAAAGCUCUUUUACCCGGGAUGAUAAUGACGGUACCGGGAGAAUAAGCCCCGGCUAACUCCGUGCCAGCCGCCGCAGUAA
rnacentral:rRNA from 1 species